ACAUCGCCUCCUAUGCACUUCUUCCUUGGGACCCGUUCACUAGUUGCUUAGGUUUUGCCACUUGCAAUACAGAGAUUCUCAAGAGGAAGUGGUCCGGGUAAUGCCUUGGUGUUGCAGACACGUUGUUACUAUUUUUCGUAUCACUUUUUACUAUUUUCAUAUGCAAAGUAAAGCUAGAUUCGUUUAUCUCUUUGGCUUCAUACAAGGUUUACAUAGUUGAAUAUUCAUCCUGAACUUUGUGAUUACUGUCCACUUGUCCAGAUAUACUCCAAGUAAGGCUUGGAGUCCCAGAGUCAUCACCAACUGUUACGGGCUUACUACCAAGAGAAAGUUACGCAAACUCGUGAAUAUGGUAAAAAAAGUUGUUAAAAUUUUUAUGAUAUGCAUGUACAUAAAACUUUCAAAUGAUUAUUUGAUGAAAAGUGUUUUAGUGUUUACUCUGGUUAAUGAAGUAAUGGCACUGAGAAACAUAGACUUGGAAAACAUAGGGACGGUGGGUGUUAUAGGACCCAACUCGAAUCCGCCAAGUGUAGUCUUGAGUCUUAAGAUUAGGAUUUACCUGACUCACACGUUGAAAGGCAUUUUGGAGUCCAACUGAGAAAAUGCUAAUUAUAUCCCAAGUUCGUAAAUGGUAUGUAGGAGAAUUUUUACUUGAUUAGGUAACUGUAAAGUUUUGAGCUACACUCGUGUAAAGCACCUUUGCUUGCUAGUUUCUCGUAAAUGCAAGCUAUUUGGUGACCUAAUCAUGUGGUCAGCAUCUUGGGUUUGCUUAUACUAGUAACCAUUAGUCCAUUAAUUAGUACUUUGAGUUGCCUUUCUCGUGUUAUGCGCAAAAAUGUUUACUACGUGGAAGCUACAGGAUAUGAUGAUACUCUCAGGUUUGAGGACUAGCUCCAGUUACGCUUUUGGGUCCAGUAGAUGUACGAUACCCAUUUUGUGGUCCAAAAAGAAUGAGAUUUGCUGAACGCUCUAGUGGCCAAAUUCAUGUGGCUUCCUUCACUCUACGCCUCUAGAGCUGAAAAGUUAGAUUUCUGUAUAAAAUGCUGGUCCUAGGAUACACUUUUCGCAUCUCUGCCUCUUUCAUUUUUGCUUACAUCGCACUUCUCUUUCCCAUAUGGUAAAUUUAAACUUUGAAAAUGUUUUUUUGGCUUGGUAAUUUGAACUUAACAAUUUUUUCUUGUUAAUUACUAGUUUUUAUGAGGAGUGUAAUGGCAUGUAGAAAUGUUAUGAAAUGAUUUCAUGAUCAUUGAAUUCUAAAAAAAAAGAUUCAAGGUUCCUUACAUUAGUAAACAUAUCGAGAGAUCUUUAUCCUGCCAAAUUGGAUAAGUUGAGGAAUGUUUGCCUUUGAGUGCUUUGUUGAUGGAUUUUUUUUGGAGAUUUAUGUGGUUCGAGUUCAUGAAGAGUAAAUUGUGUAUUGGCCUUUUUCACUUGUAGUUCAAGUAAUAGGUAUGUAUCUCGCUUAUUAUUGCUCUCUGAAAAUCUGCAAGUUCAUUGUUGUUGCGGUUUGGAACUUCUGUCACAUGUGUAGGCCUUCGGAUAACAUGAAACUUGCAUCGAGAAUUUCUGGAGGCAAAAUAUAUUGCUUAUUGUGAUUCAUUUCAACAGAUUGAGGAAAGAAAAGUACAUUGCUUAUUAGUUUUCAUUGUUUAUCAGUUUUUGUGGUUGCUAAUACUUCACUUCUUUCAGAGUUUUGGAAAUCCUAUUUCAUUGCAAAGAGUGAAAAGAGAACAAGAGUCUAGGGACCAUAUAAAGCUUGUAGUUGUACGUUUUGUGCAGAUUCUCCCACUUUUCAUGGCUGUGACUGUGAGCAUCAGAGGAAAAGUGCAAAAGUGCAAAAGUGCAGUGACCUUCGGCUAAAGGUAAUCGCUUUUAUGCACUUUCACGUGAUAUCUCGAAUCCAUCACCAAAUACUGACAUUCUGUUGGCUCUUAAAUUCGUUUGUGCUUCAACUGGUUGUCUUUGCAUCUUAAAAUUUCCUGACAAGAAAUUUAGUAGAGACUUUACUACUACUUGAAGUUUCCUUGUUGAUGAUAUGCUAGUAUUAUAUGCAACUGGCGAUACCUUUGAUUUGCUUGCUAAUAUUAAUAUGUUUGGUGCAUGAUCAAACCAGAUCGCAGAAUAGGUUUUCUGGUGAUCUGAGAACUUGCUGCUGUAAACACUUUUGGCUUCAGUGAAUGCAUUUAUGUGGUCCAAUACAACAUCUUUUACAACAAACUGAUAGGUAAAUUCAUAUGGAUCUUACCCUGACUCAGUUCUGGCUUACAUAGUGGUAGAUAAGUUGAGGUCUAUGGCCCUUUCCAGGUGGCAAAAAGUGAAGGCCUUACAGUGUCACCCUUUUCCUUUCGCUGCCUCGUUAUUCUUUUGUAAAAGUGAGCCAUUAUUCUAAAAGAUAGCAAAAGAGGUCGAUUUCUCAUACUGAAUAUCUUUUAUUCAUUUGGAUGGUCCAUAGGCAUUGACAUAUUCUGCUAGAACUUGGUUGUGAAUGGUGGAAUCUUGUUAGCAGAGAGAACCACGUGGGAAUGGAUUUGGCACCAAUGUUAAUCAGGCAAAAGAAUAUGCUUCAAUGUAAACUAUACCUAGCAGCUUUGUGCAAUAUCGGGGUUAUUGGUUGUUAGCCAUCUGACUCCAACUUUAUCUGAGCACAUUAUGUGAUGUUAGUCUCUGUAAUCUACUUGGAUUCUCAUGUUGAGUAAAAACCUUAUUUUCUCAGGGAUGGAUGAAAGUGGAAUCGUUUAUAUUCUACGUGAUCAAGUGUCAGCAAGAAAGGAAUCAAUAGUUAUUUUCGUACAUUUGGAAACGUGUUAAAUGUUCUUGCCUUCUUGGUACAGCCUGCCCAGGUAAACCUUAUCUCUUCAUAGCAUCAAAAUUUUAAUUAGACUGAAUAGCAGAGUUACAUGUGGAUGUGGUGGUAAUAUUUCAUAGAUAGUACGAUUUCUACCAAAGUGGGAAAAUUUUGUUUUAGCUACAGCAGCAAAAUAUGAAUAGAUCUAAUUGGUUGGUACUAGUUAGACAAAACUAUAGACGUAUAUAUGCAUUACAAUGGUAAUAACUAAGCAUGCAAUAUAGUUUUGCCUUAGAAGCAUCAUAAUGAAGGAACAAUUCCAUAUCCGGUAUCAAACGUUAUCGUCGUGGAGAAGGUUUGAUCUGCCUCUGCAUCAGCUUCAUUCCUUUUUGCAAAGCGGCCCUUGAUCCGUGGUCUUUUCUCUGCGUAUGCUUUCCGCGAAGCAUAUCGUAUAGUCUUCUCAAAUUUCCUCAUCUUCUUCUUCUCUCUGUAUCUCAGGACCCUAGCCUCUCUCUCCACUGGACUGAGCAUCUGAGGUGGAGGUUCAGUUAGUUGGUCUGUUACAGCUUUGGGCGAUCUUGGUUGAGAUACUGUUGCAUCACUCGUUGUUGACUCUGGCACAACUAUGAGGUCCAUAGAUGAAACAUGUACCUAAUAAUAGAACAAAGAAAAUCUUAGUCAUAUAGCUCAUGGAUUAGUGUGUCUGAUGAAAGAAACAGCAUGCUGGCCAUAGUAAAGAAACUGAAUAAAAUAUAGAAAAGCUUACCAUAUGGCUUAUGGAACCAUUGGAGCUUCGAGGAGCAUAGGUAAUACCCAACUCCAAGUUAUGUUGCCCGUGAUGCAUAUGACCCCUUGAUUCGUCAACUUGAAGUGGAACAACUCCAUCUCCUCUAUAACUCCUCUCAGGUACGUUGCAGGGUUGUUGAUACUGAUUGGAUUGAUCUGUGAAUUGUUUAUCCAUACUUGAACUGUAAUCGACAAGGUCCAGAUACUCGUCACCAAUAGAGAAGUUCUGACUAUGAUUGUUACCAUUGUUUUUCCCUAAAUUAGGAAGCAACCACGAAGCUGCCUCUGCUUCAUCUCUAUCCUCUUCUUCUUGGCCUACCACCAGGCUGUUCUCUGGUUCUGUCACUGUUGUCUCACAU
rnacentral:lncRNA from 1 species